GACGAACCGUGCGAACGUUAUUCGGAAUCACUGGGCUUAAAGCGCGUGUAGGCGGGCCGGCACGUCGGCUGCUGAAAUCCCCCGGCUCAACCGGGGAAGGGGCACCGAUACGACCGGCCUGGAGGGGGGUAGGGGGGACGGGAACUUCCGGGGGAGCGGUGAAAUGCGUUGAGAUCGGAAGGAACGCCCGCGGCGAAAGCGCGUCCCUGGACCCCACCUGACGCUGAGACGCGAAAGCCAGGGGAGCGAACGGG
rnacentral:rRNA from 1 species